rnacentral:rRNA from 1 species
GUGCCAGCAGCCGCGGUAAUACCGGCAGCACGAGUGAUGGCCGAUAUUAUUGGGCCUAAAGCGUCCGUAGCUUGCUGUGUAAGUCCAUUGGGAAAUCCAUCAGCCCAACUGAUGGGCGUCCGGCGGAAACUACAAGGCUUGGGACCGGAAGGCUCGAGGGGUACGUCUGGGGUAGGAGUGAAAUCCCGUAAUCCCGGACGGACCACCGAUGGCGAAAGCACUCUGAGAAGACGGCUUCGACAGUGAGGGACGAAAGCUAGGGUCUCAAACCGGAUUAGAAACCCUAGUAGUCC